rnacentral:lncRNA from 1 species
AUGUCUCUACAGAGGAGUUGUCUGAACCUCUUAAGAAGUUUGCAAAUGAGCUCUCAUCACAUAGUGUUCCUACCAAUGUUGAAGAGGCUCUUGAAGACCCGAGAUGGAUUCAAGCUAUGAAUGAAGAAAUGGAGGCAUUAAAUAAGAAUACAACAUGGAAUCUUGUACCUCUACCAAAGGGGAAGAAACCUGUAGGUUGUAAGUGGGUUUUCUCGAUCAAGUAUAAAGCUGAUGGAUCUAUCGAAAGGUACAAGGCAAGACUAGU